rnacentral:lncRNA from 1 species
UACAUACAAUAAUAACAUUCGGUUACCCCUGGUCCCCCAUAUAAACUUACAUACAAUAAUAACAUUCGGUUACCCCUGGUCCCCCAUAUAAACUUACAUACAGCAAUAACAUUGGGUAACCCCUGGUCCCCCAUAUAAACUUACAAUCAGUAAUACCAUUGGGUAAUCCCUGGUCCCCCAUAUAAACUUACAUACAGCAAUAACAUUGGGUAACCCCUGGUCCCCCAUAUAAACUAACAUACAGUAAUACCAUUGGGUUACCCCCUGGUCCCCUAUAUCAACAUACAUACAGUAAUAACAUUCGGUUACCCCUGGUCCCCAUAUAAACUUACAUACAAUAAUAACAUUGUAAUACCUGGUAAGAAUUUAAUUUUUUUAGUAAAUUGACUGUCGGUACCUCCUCAGAACAAGCCGUUAUAUAAAGUAAAAACAACUAUACAUUGUUCGAACAAUUUUUGUUUAGAAAACAAUUCUGUCGGUACGUCAUCAGAACCAGCUUUUAUGUGCAGUAAUAACAGCAAUACAUGUUCAUUUUUUUUUAAUUAAUCCAAUAUCGUUACCUCCUCGGAACCAUCCUUUAUUUACGGUAAAAACAGCAAUACCUGAUCCGGACUUAAUUUUGACCUCCUUAGCACAAAAAAAAAAUAAAAAAAAUAAAAUUAUUAUAACUUAAUUUUCUAAGUAAACGUGUAGGUACCGCUGCUAAAUUAUCUAAUUAAAUUUUAUAUCGGUACCUCAUCCGGACCAACCUUAAUUUACAAAAAAAACAAAACAUUUAUACCUUACCAAAACCAAAUUUUGUAAGUAAACUUUAUGCCGGUACCUCCUCAGUAUAAACCGUUAUUCAGAGUAAAAAUAACCAUACCUUGUCCGAAACAAUAUUUUCUCACUAAACUUUUUAUGUCGGUAUCUCCUCAGAACCAAACUUUAUUUGCAGUAAAAACAGAAAUACCUGGUCAGAAUUUAAUUUCCUAAUUAAACUGAAUGCUGGUGUUCUAUAGCCAUUCUUCCCCAAUGCCAAUUUUUCCGGGCGAAAAACUGGACCGAUCCAAUAACAUUCGGUUACCCCUGGUCCCCCAUAUAAACUUACAUACAGCAAUAACAUUGGGUUACCCCUAGUUCCCCAUAUAAACUUACAUACAGCAAUAACAUUGGGUAACCCCUGGUCCCCCAUAUAAACUUACAUACAGCAAUAACAUUGGGUAACCCCUGGUCCCCCAUAUAAACUUACAUACAGUAAUACCAUUGGGUUACCCCCUGGUCCCCUAU